rnacentral:sRNA from 1 species
GAGCAACGAACAGCCGCGGAGGCGACAGCUACCGCUUCAGAGGAGGCGGCCGCGGAGGAGGAGGAAGGGGAGGAGGGCGAGGCGGGAGGUGCAGGAGGGACCCUCGCCAUGGGUCCACGGGCCUAGAGUGGCGGAAGAUACCGGCCUGGUGCCAAACUGGCUACUGCUGCUUCCUGUGGCCUCCAUGGCUGAGGACUGGCUGGACUGCCCGGCCCUGGGCCCUGGCUGGAAGCGCCGCGAAGUCUUUCGCAAGUCAGGGGCCACCUGUGGACGCUCAGACACCUAUUACCAGAGCCCCACAGGAGACAGGAUCCGAAGCAAAGUUGAGCUGACUCGAUACCUGGGCCCUGCGUGUGAUCUCACCCUCUUCGACUUCAAACAAGGCAUCUUGUGCUAUCCAGCCCCCAAGGCCCAUCCCGUGGCGGUUGCCAGCAAGAAGCGAAAGAAGCCUUCAAGGCCAGCCAAGACUCGGAAACGUCAGGUUGGACCCCAGAGUGGUGAGGUCAGGAAGGAGGCCCCGAGGGAUGAGACCAAGGCUGACACUGACACAGCCCCAGCUUCAUUCCCUGCUCCUGGGUGAGUGUUGGUCUAAGGUGAGCCAGAUGGGUGAGGGUUGUGAUUGAGGGUGCUCUUGGAGCCCCACACCUGCCUUUCCCAUCCCAGGUGCUGUGAGAACUGUGGAAUCAGCUUCUCAGGGGAUGGCACCCAAAGGCAGCGGCUCAAAACGUUGUGCAAAGACUGUCGAGCACAGAGAAUUGCCUUCAACCGGGAACAGAGAAUGUUUAAGCGUGUGGGCUGUGGGGAGUGUGCAGCCUGCCAGGUAACAGAAGACUGUGGGGCCUGCUCCACCUGCCUCCUGCAGCUGCCCCAUGAUGUGGCAUCGGGGCUGUUCUGCAAGUGUGAACGGAGACGCUGCCUCCGGAUUGUGGAAAGGAGCCGAGGGUGUGGAGUAUGCCGGGGCUGUCAGACCCAAGAGGAUUGUGGCCAUUGCCCCAUCUGCCUUCGCCCUCCC